GCACUGAUAGCUCAGCGGUAGAGCAAUCGGCUGCAGUUUCCCGAAAUACAUCCGAUAGGUCCUCGGUUCAAAUCCGGGUCAGUGCU